rnacentral:rRNA from 1 species
GUGUCAGCAGCCGCGGUAAUACGAAGGGUGCAAGCGUUAAUCGGACUUACUGGGCGUAAAGGGUGCGUAGGUGGUCUGUUAAGUCGGAUGUGAAAUCCCCGGGCUCAACCUGGGAAUGGCAUCUGAUACUGGCGGACUUGGAGUCUUGGAGAGGGUGGUGGAAUUCCUGGUGUAGCGGUGAAAUGCGUAGAGAUCAGGAGGAACACUAGUGGCGAAGGCGGCCACCUGGCCAAAGACUGACGCUGAGGCACGAAAGCGUGGGGAGCAAACAGGAUUAGAAACCCCUGUAGUCC